GCCUGGAACCAAUACAGAUCACUGGUCUUGGGUGUUAAGGACUAGAGGUUAGAGGAGACCC
rfam:Banzi virus strain SA H336 3' untranslated region, partial sequence.